rnacentral:piRNA from 1 species
UUAAAGCUAUUUAAACUAUGG